rnacentral:rRNA from 1 species
UACGAAGGGGGCUAGCGUUGCUCGGAAUCACUGGGCGUAAAGCGCACGUAGGCGGCUUUCUAAGUCAGGGGUGAAAUCCCGGAGCUCAACUCCGGAACUGCCUUUGAUACUGGAAAGCUUGAGUUCGGGAGAGGUGAGUGGAACUGCGAGUGUAGAGGUGAAAUUCGUAGAUAUUCGCAAGAACACCAGUGGCGAAGGCGGCUCACUGGCCCGAUACUGACGCUGAGGUGCGAAAGCUAGGGUAGCAAACGGG